CUAACAGGAUUCCCCUAGUAACUGCGAGUGAAGCGGGAAAAGCUCAAAUUUAAAAUCUGGUGGCCUUUGGCCAUCCGAGUUGUAAUUUAGAGAAGCGUCUUCCGUGCCGGGACCGUGCACAAGUCUCCUGGAAUGGAGCGUCAUAGAGGGUGAGAAUCCCGUCUUUGGCACGGACUCCNGGUGCUUUUGUGAUGCGCUCUCGACGAGUCGAGUUGUUUGGGAAUGCAGCUCAAAAUGGGUGGUGAACUCCAUCUAAAGCUAAAUACUGGCGAGAGACCGAUAGCGAACAAGUACCGUGAGGGAAAGAUGAAAAGCACUUUGGAAAGAGAGUGAAACAGUACGUGAAAUUGUUGAAAGGGAAACGCUUGAAGUCAGUCGCGUCGACCGAGACUCAGCCUUGCCUUGGCUUGGUGUACUUCUCGGCUGACGGGUCAGCAUCAAUUUCGAUCCUCGGAUAAUGGCAAGGGAAAGGUGGCACCUUUUUAGGUGUGUUAUAGUCCUCUGUCGCAUGCGAGGGUUGGGAUUGAGGAACUCAGCACGCGCCUCUGGGUGUCGGGGCCUCGGCCCACGUUACGUGCUUAGGAUGUUGGCGUAAUGGCUUUAAACGACCCGUCUUGAAACACGGACCAAGGAGUCUAACAUACCCGCGAGUGUUCGGGUGGAAAACCNGUGCGCAUAAUGAAAGUAAAAGUUGGGACCUCUGUCGUGGAGGGCACCGACGCCCGGACCAGACCUUCUGUGACGGCUCUGCGGUAGAGCGUGUAUGUUAGGACCCGAAAGAUGGUGAACUAUGCCUGAAUAGGGUGAAGCCAGAGGAAACUCUGGUGGAGGCUCGUAGCGAUUCUGACGUGCAAAUCGAUCGUCAAAUUUGGGUAUAGGGGCGAAAGACUAAUCGAACAUCUA
rnacentral:rRNA from 1 species